UACAGAGGGUGCGAGCGUUAAUCGGAAUUACUGGGCGUAAAGCGCGCGUAGGCGGCUUUGCAAGUCGGGUGUGAAAUCCCCAGGCUUAACCUGGGAACUGCAUUCGAGACUGCAUUGCUAGAGUAUGGGAGAGGGAAGUGGAAUUUCCGGUGUAGCGGUGAAAUGCGUAGAUAUGACAUAGAACACCAAUUGCGAAGGCAGCUUACUACACAGUUAUUGACGCUGAGGCACGAAAGCGUGGGGAUCAAACAGG
rnacentral:rRNA from 1 species